AGAGUUUGAUCAUGGCUCAGGAUUAACGCUGGCGGCGUGCCUAAUACAUGCAAGUCGAGCGAGGAAAGUAGCAAUACUUUUCGAGCGGCGAACGGGUGAGUAACACGUUGGGAAUCUACCCCUGAGACCGGAAUACCUGGAAGAAAUUUCAGCUAAUGCCGGAUACGUGGUCAACACAGAAGUGAUGAUCAAUAAAAGGCGGACCUUAAAGCCGCGCUGAGGGAUGAACCUGCGGCGCAUUAGCUAGUUGGUGAGAUAAAAGCCCACCAAGGCGAGGAUGCGUAGCCGACCUGAGAGGGUGAACGGCCACACUGGAACUGAGACACGGUCCAGACUCCUACGGGAGCA
rnacentral:rRNA from 1 species